rnacentral:rRNA from 1 species
AGUGAACGCUGGCGGCAUGCCUUACACAUGCAAGUCGAACGGCAGCAUGACCUAGCUUGCUAGGUUGAUGGCGAGUGGCGAACGGGUGAGUAAUGCAUCGGAACGUGCCUUUUAGUGGGGGAUAACGUAGCGAAAGUUACGCUAAUACCGCAUAUUCUCUGAGGAGGAAAGCAGGGGACCUUCGGGCCUUGCGCUAGAAGAGCGGCCGAUGUCGGAUUAGCUAGUUGGUGAGGUAAAGGCUCACCAAGGCAACGAUCCGUAGCGGGUCUGAGAGGAUGAUCCGCCACACUGGGACUGAGACACGGCCCAGACUCCUACGGGAGGCAGCAGUGGGGAAUUUUGGACAAUGGGCGCAAGCCUGAUCCAGCCAUGCCGCGUGAGUGAAGAAGGCCUUCGGGUUGUAAAGCUCUUUCGGCUGGGAAGAAAUCGCACCCUCUAAUACAGGGUGUGGAUGACGGUACCAGCAUAAGAAGCACCGGCUAACUACGUG